rnacentral:rRNA from 1 species
CAGCCGCCGCGGUAAUACCGGCGGCCCGAGUGGCGGUCACUCUUAUUGGGCUUAAAGCGUCCGUAGCCGGGUUGGGAAGUCCUCCGGGAAAUCUGGCCGCUUAACGGUCAGAAUGCCGGAGGAUACUCCCAGCCUAGGGAGCGGGGGAGGCCGAGGGUAUUCCCGGAGUAGGGGUGAAAUCCUAUAAUCCCGGGAGGACCACCUGUGGCGAAGGCGCUCGGCUGGAACGCGUCCGACGGUGAGGGACGAAGGCCAGGGGAGCAAACCGGAUUAGAUACCCGGGUAGUCCUGGCUGUAAACGAUGCGGACUUUGUGUCGGACAAGCUAUGAGCUUGUCCGGUGCCGGAGGGAAACCGUUAAGUCCGCCGCCUGGGGAGUACGGCCGCAAGGCUGAAACUUAAAGGAAUUGGCGGG